GGCUGGGGGGUUAAACAUCCCUUCCCCCACUCAAACUUAGUCCAGGCUGCAACUGUGGACUUCAAAUCCACAGGAAGUCCACAGUUCCCCAGAGGAAGUUAUGAGAAACCCUGUAGAGUCCAGCUGUUGUAAUUCUAGACUGCAAAUCCCAGAGACCUUGGGGGCAGUAGGAAGAGGAAGUGAACACACAGCCAGAGGGCCCUGCUCUAGUGCCCCCCUCCCAAGCUUCUGGCCUGGGCCACUGCAGGCCUUGCUGGAGUAUGGAUUGAUAUAAACACUGACCAGCGCAUAUACAAAUCACACAGGCCCUGCUAACAGCGUGAACUGAAGUUGAAUUAAUUGUGGCACAGGCAGGAAAUCACACCCACCAAGGAGAGAAAGGUGUCAAUGAAACAUCACUCUUGGCAA